ensembl:lncRNA
AGAGCUUGCUGUUUGCAUUCAGGUAGCGUAAACCCCCUUUUCCUGGAGGUUGGGGUCGCAGCAUCCUUUGCAAUUCAGAACCCAGUCCAGCAGUAACUCAGUAGUCUCCCGGGCCUUUAAGAGUCGCCGCUGUGCUCUCUGGGGAUUUCAGUCCACGGGGAGGCCGGGGUUCUAAGAUGAGGUCAGGCAUUUUCUGUUCUCCCAAGGGUCACAGAGAACCAUGGAUCAGGAUCCUUGGGGAGUGGGUGGCUGGGGACCCCUGACACCCUGAGCAGGGACAGGGGAAAGGAGAAGCCGCCAUGGCCACCGCCGGGGGACCAGGGCAGGUCUUGCCACCACCCACCUUCCCGAGGGCCCAGCAGAGUUAGGAAAGCCUGAGAGCAGCCCUUAGAGAGCGUCCAUCCGGCGGUGCCCUGAUUACGGGGAAGGAAACGGAGGCAGGAAGGCCGAGCGAAUCGCCCAGGAGCUGAUGUUCGGAAAGACGGCUUGAGAAUGACCGGCUGGAAUGGGUUGCUGGUCACCCACUCAACCACACCUCGGAAGCACGGGCCAGUCUCGAUUCUGCUGACUUAGGUGGGGGGAAAAAAUCAUGAUUUUGGGGGGGGGGAUUUUGGGGGGGGAGGGGUAAACACUGACCUAAAAUGUUCCUGUGCUUAAAGGAGUAAGCGUCUGCUAACUGCGAAAAUCAAUUACGUGGAACGCCUUAUUUUUCCCCAAUGUCGGUAACACGAGGCAUUGCUGGUCUGCAUGUCGCAUGGGGAGAAAACUUAGGGGACUAAUUCCAAGAGGUGGUACAGGAUGAAAAUAGACAUGGGCCAUCGAUUCCAAACAGAUUGCGUAAGCGCGUGAGUUAUUCAGCUCGAACAAGGUAUUAAGGGAAAGUUGGAUGCGCAGGGGGUUGGGGGACCACUCCCUCACUGAUACCACAAUCAGGCCACCCAUGCCUGCCCCCAGAAGGACACCAGAAACUAAACCCAAGGCUGGAUGGACGGGCCCUGGCCUGGGGAACAACUGCCACACCCCUGGCUGCGCACCUGGCUUGUGGGGCCUCCCAGGAUCCCAGGUUCCCAGCCCCGUCUGGCAGGAGCAGGCUUGGAUUUUACUUCGUGACCUUGACAGUGGGUGCUAGGGACCAAACGACUGCAUCCUUCCCCCAGUCCACUGAAGCCCUCGUCCCCAGUGCGAUCCUAUGUGGAGGUGAGGCCUUUGGGAGGUAAUUAGCUUAUGAAGGUGGAGCCCUCAUGCUAGCAUUGGUAUCUUUAUAAAAGAGACAGGAAACCAACAAGUUAUAUGUCAAUUAUAUAUAUAUCUACAUUCGAAAUUUUCAUUUUUAUGUUCUUCUUAGGGCUGCACAUUCAGCAUAUGGCAGUUCCUGGGCUAGGGGUCGAAUGAGAGCUAAGCUGGUGGCCUGCGCCACAGCCCCAGCAACGCGGGAUUUAAGCCACAUCUGCCACCUACACCGCAGCGUGCAGCAACACUGAGUCCUUAACCCACUGAGCGAGGCCAGGGGUCCAACCCACACCCCCAUGAAUCCCCGUCGGGAUCGCCACCGCUGAGCCACGAUGGGAACUCCCGCUAAUGAAACUUUGUAAGAGAGGAAGAGACACGAGAGAAACAAUCCCUCGCUCCACCAUGUAAGGACACAGCAAGAAGGCAGCCACCUGCAAAGCAGGAAGAGAGCUCUCGCUGGCAACUGCACAGGCCGGCACCUUGAUCUUGGACUUCCCGGCCUCCAGAGCUGUGAGGGUUGAACACGUGUGGCCCAGGCCACCCAGUCUGUGGUGUCCUGUUUUGCAGCCUGACAGUGGGCAAGUCAUUUCGCCUCUCUGAGCAUCGACGUACUCUCCAGAAAAUAGUGACAGCAUUCGUCUCCCUCCCUCCCUCCUUUCUCCUCCUUUCCUUCCUUCCUUCCUUCUCUUCCAUCGAUAUCAGGAGUCCUGAGUAAACC